AACCACAAGGAGGGGGCUGUGAUCGGAUCCCACAGCCGGUAGAGCAAAAGCUUCAGCCUCCGGAAACGUAACCCUCCAAUCCAUUGAGCAGAAGACCCUGUCCAAUUUCUCUUGAAUCCUAUCAGCACCUUCUCUAUUGUUUGACCAGAUUGACUAUAUCAACUAUUGAAGGGUAAUAAGGAGUAUACCUCUUCAACUUCUUGGCUGAUUCAAAGGUAAAUGAUAAGACAUUAGAUUCAUGUUGUGCAAAAUUCAGAGAAUCCACCUUCCAGACUCGCGUCAUAGUUGAAAGAAAAGCCUGGUAAUUGAUAUUUCCUCCCGAGUACAGUUUUCCAAACACCGUUCGCUUGCAUUCAUCUAAAGUUUCCUCUGAAAUGACUCUUUCUCUAGGCGGGGCAUCCACUUCAGUUUUCAGAUUCCCAAGCCUCUUACAUAAUAAAGCUAGUCGACCAUCUCUUUCCCCCGAAUCAUCCAUUUGAAAACCCUUGUCAGCCACGAUUCAGAGAAUGACCAGAAACCCAGAAGACAAAAUCAGACUUUACCCAUCUAUUAUCGCCUUUCAUUACCGAAAUAACACCCCUCAAGACCAUUCAGAGAUAUUUAAAAACAGAGAGAAAUCCUCCCAUUAUUUACUACGGAAAAAAACCCCAAGGGAUUAAAACUUCAGAACCGUCGUGCAAGAAGUGCAAAGAGGGAAGUUGCGGCAUCUUCAGCAAUCCCUAGAACCCAAAGACCAAGACAAGAGGAAAGCGAGCAAAGGAGGAGACGUCGACUCACUUCAUCAGUGUCCAGCGAGGAGAUGUCGAGCGAGCCAUGGAGGAAAGCGAGCCAAGGAGAUGACGAAGACAAUAUUCUCGCAGAAGCCACAUGAUACUAGGUUUUACGUUUUUUUUUUUUUCUGACAGAAUCAGCGAAGAAGGGGUUUAGGGUUUAUGGGCAACUACCAUGAACGGUAGAGAGAGCUCUCAAACGGUGAGCACGGGGUAUAAAAUUUACCAUGGACCAGAUAAUAAAACUGCUUUUUCCACUAGGGUUCUGAAAAAAAAGAGAAAAAA